CCCAUCUCCCUCCUCUAUCUCGCCCGCAGCUUCCUUCCUCCACCUCGCGCACGACCUAGCCGCGCCGCCGCCUCCGCCACACCGGCCGCUCUCUUGUUGUCCCGCGCGUCGGACGCCCCUACUCCUGCUCCGCUGCGCCGUUCGCCUCCCCUCCGCGCGGCUCCACGCUACGAUUGGAAGGAGGACGAGGAGCGGGCAGGGGGCCCACGCGGAUCCAUUGAUGGCUGCAUCUUCGCCAUAUCCUCCUCUGUCGCCUUCUCCUCCACCGCUUCUGUUCUAGCCUCCACCACCCGCGCCGCCGCCUCUUCCUCCGUGCGACUCCCCCGGCGCAGGCCUACUCCUCCGCACGCCUCCCCCACGGCGCCGCGGCCGCCUCCUCCGUGCCCCUCCCCUGCCGCGCCGGCCACCUCCUCCACCAUGCCGGCCGCCUCUCCUCCUGGUCCGCGCGCCGACCACCUCCCCUUCGCGCCAGGGACGGGAGGAGCGGGUAGGGCCCCCGGCGCCACGGAUCCGUCGCCGACCCCUCUCCUUCUACUCUGCCACGCCGGCCUUCCAUCCGCGCCCAGAUUUGUCCUGUAACAUCUUUUUUGUUUGUUUGAAAACGAAUGCCAAAUACCUAGGGUUGCACACAAAUCUACUUAUAGUUUAAUCAACUACUCUGAUCUACUAAUAUACUGUAAUUUCUUUGUUCAAAACAGAGCCAAGUUCAUGUGCCCUUCAUUCGGUAACAAAGCCUAUAGUGUGCCGAAGGCUUUGGCCACUGAACCCUUGGUAGUCGAUUCACAUAAUGUUGAUUCAUAUGGAUUUGUUAAACUAAAGAAUUGGUGGCACUAACAAGGUGUAUGUCUUCCUUUAUUUUGUUUUUAUUACGGUUAUAUACUAUGCUGCCCCCCUACUAUGGUAAGCAAAUUACUGGAAUGCUAAUCUUUCCAGUGCCCUCAGUGUUAUCAUCAAUUAAUGGAACUUUUCAUGCUCAACCAUAUCAGUGUUCCUCAAAGUACCAAUUUGGUUCACAAAUAAAUCCCAUACCUAUUAAUCUUAACGACACCACCCAUAACAAAGCAACUGAAUGCCCCAGCCCUAAACGACACCACCCUAAACCUUACCUGUGUUAGCAUCACCUUACUUACAAUUAACAAUUUUUCUAAUAAGAGAUUAGUUUUUGGAGAUCUGUGCGUCAGGUGCCAUACUGAAGUUUGGUGGUGAAGUUCAGUGCGUCAUAUAUUGAAAUUGGUCAUGGUGCUCAUGGUGGCUGGUGGGGGACCAUGGACAACUAAGCAGCUAAACUCGAGAAGAGUGAAUUAUUUGUUCCAAUGGAGAGUAACAGAUCCAGUAAAGAACUUGGAGGUCAAAAUGCAAUAGGCCUCUGCUUUUGUUGUGCUCCCAUCUAAAGAAACCAAGCAGCUCUGUGUUGCAUUCCAUUUUGUUUUCUUUUUCUAAAAUGAUGCUUCAUUGCCGCAUAUGCUGGCGUCCGCAAAGAGCUGAACACUGCCACCAUCUGCCAACUCCUCAAGACAGUGGCCAUGCUGAAAUGGUAGAUGACCACAGUGGCGGACCCAGGACCCGGCGACCCUGGGCACCUGCCUAGGCUCCCCCACUGCAGUUACAAGAAGUCAGCCCUUAAGUUGUCCGCCAUGGCUGCAGCUUCAGACAAAAGAGGAGAGCUGCCAUAGAUUUCGCCCAGGCUGCCUGCAGUCCCUGGGUCCGCCACUGGAUGACCGCCACUAUCACAGGUAAUCACAGGCUCCUCCUUAGCCCUAUAUGUGGUCCCUUGCCAAUUAGUGUGCACUAAAAAUGUACUCUCGACA